rnacentral:rRNA from 1 species
CCUACGGGAGACUGCAGUGAGGAAUAUUGGUCAAUGGGCGCGAGCCUGAACCAGCCAAGUAGCGUGAAGGAUGACUGCCCUGCGGAUUGUAAACUUCUUUUGUAAGGGAAUAAAGUGAGGCACGUGUGCCUUUUUGUAUGUACUUUAUGAAUAAGGAUCGGCUAACUCCGUGCCAGCAGCCGCGGUAAUACGGAGGAUCCGAGCGUUAUCCGGAUUUAUUGGGUUUAAAGGGUGCGGAGAUGGGUUGUUAAGUCAGUUGUGAAAGGCUGCGGCUCAACCGUAAAACUGCAGUUGAUACUGGCAGCCUUGAGUACAGUUGAGGUAGGCGGAAUUCGUGGUGUAGCGGUGAAAUGCUUAGAUAUCACGAAGAACUCCGAUUGCGAAGGCAGCCUACUAAACUGCCACUGACAUUGAUGCUCGAAAGUGUGGGUAUCAAACAGGAUUAGAUACCCGGGUAGUC